UGGACCUGUUGAUAAAUUCGCUGACUGCCUU
rnacentral:piRNA from 1 species